AUAGGCAUAGCGAACCACCCCAGUUUCCGCAUUGGAACGCGACGCCGCGCGGUGCACAAAUUUACUUUCAAACGUAUGCUACACGUAACCGCUCGGAAAUUGCCGAUAAAAUUGCGCUGGCAUUAAUCUAUGGAAUAUUUGCUAUCAAUCUGUGGUAUUUGUUUUCCAUAAUACGUAAUAAUAAGUGAGCUAAAAAUCGGUAAAGUCGGAGAUACGGUCGAAAAAACCCUACGUUCCGCCGCCGAAAACGCGGCACCGGCCUGCGCCGCGGCCCCGCGGAAGUGCGUGUUUUUAACUCAAAACCCGCCAGACUUCCUGUUCGACUAGACUUCUGGGAAUUAUAUCAUGUGAAAGGGGAAAGAUCAAGGUUCACGACGGUGAUUGUGCAAUCUUCAUAGCUUGUGGCAAACUGAAAUGGCGGGCCAGUGAAAAAAUUCGUCAAAAUGGAUGAAGAGGACAGCCAGAAGACAUUCGCUGGGACAUUGUUUACAGGCUGGAUUAAAGUUUUAAACAUGAACUAUCAUGUGGCUCCAAAUGUUUUACUGAGGGAUAACUGCAGUGUUGAAGAAUUUUGUCAGCUUAAACUAAGAAAACAAUCAAUUCUUCAUUCUUGUCCAAUCUGGAAACAGGAUUCCAAUAUUAAUCAUUCAGUGCACUUUAUGACACAUAUCAGUUCCUGUCACUUGUCAUAGACUUAACACCAGGACAAUGUGAUGCUUUUAGUCUAGCCAGUUAAUAAGCAUAUCUUAUUACUAAUUAGUAAACAUUGUUGAAUCUCAUUGUUAAUUAUUUGGUAUCUAAAUGCUACAUUAAAAAACAAAAGUUAUCCUUGCCUGAAUACAAGAUAUAUUAGUUAAUACUUAUGAUUUGUCAUCCAGCCAUGAUAUCCAAAUGUUUAUUUUGCAAAGAUGCAGUUUACUGGUGACAGCUAAUUAGCAGUUUUAAUUAGCCUUUUUUUACAUAUUAUUAAACGAUCAUUUUGCAGUUCA